UACGUAGGGGGCAAGCGUUGUCCGGAAUUAUUGGGCGUAAAGCGCGCGCAGGCGGCUUCUUAAGUCUGAUGUGAAAGCCCACGGCUCAACCGUGGAGGGUCAUUGGAAACUGGGGGGCUUGAGUGCAGAAGAGGAGAGUGGAAUUCCACGUGUAGCGGUGAAAUGCGUAGAUAUGUGGAGGAACACCAGUGGCGAAAGCGGCUCUCUGGUCUGUAACUGACGCUGAGGCGCGAAAGCGUGGGGAGCAAACAGG
rnacentral:rRNA from 1 species